UGCGCGAGGGNUCUGCGUCCGAUUAGUUAGUUGGUGAGGUAACGGCUCACCAAGACGAUGAUCGGUAGCUAGUCUGAGAGGAUGAUUAGCCACACGGGAACUGAGACACGGUCCCGACUCCUACGGGGGGCAGCAGUGAGGAAUAUUGCACAAUGGACGCAAGUCUGAUGCAGCAACGCCGCGUGGAGGAUGACGGUCUUUGGAUUGUAAACUCCUUUUCUCAGGGAAGAGAAUGGACGGUACCUGAGGAAUAAGUCACGGCUAACUACGUGCCAGCAGCCGCGGUAAUACGUAGGUGGCAAGCGUUAUCCGGAAUUACUGGGCGUAAAGCGCACGCAGGCGGUCUUGUAAGUUUGACGUGAAAGCUCCCGGCUCAACUGGGAGAGGUCGUUGAAGACUGCAAGACUUGAGGCAAUGAGGGGGGUGUAGAAUUCCUGGUGUAGUGGUGGAAUGCGUAGAUAUCAGGAGGAAUACCAGUGGCGAAAGCGGCACCCUAGCGUUAGCCUGACGCUCAUGUGCGAAAGCGUGGGGAGCAAACGGGAUUAGAUACCCCGGUAGUCCACGCUGUAAACGAUGAACACUAGGUGUAGGGGAUGUGAAAGUUCUCUGUACCGAAGCCAACGCGUUAAGUGUUCCGCCUGGGGAGUACGGCCGCAAGGCUAAAACUCAAAGGAAUUGACGGGGGCCCGCACAAGCAGCGGAGCGUGUGGUUUAAUUCGAUGCGACGCG
rnacentral:rRNA from 1 species